GACGAACGCUGGCGGCGUGCUUAACACAUGCAAGUCGAACGGAAAGGCCCUGCUUUUGUGGGGUGCUCGAGUGGCGAACGGGUGAGUAACACGUGAGUAACCUGCCCUUGACUUUGGGAUAACUUCAGGAAACUGGGGCUAAUACCGGAUAGGAGCUCCUGCUGCAUGGUGGUGGUUGGAAAGUUUCGGCGGUUGGGGAUGGACUCGCGGCUUAUCAGCUUGUUGGUGGGGUAGUGGCUUACCAAGGCUUUGACGGGUAGCCGGCCUGAGAGGGUGACCGGCGACAUUGGGACUGAGAUAGGGCCCAGACGCCUACGGGAGGCAGCAGGGGGGAAUAUGGCACAAUGGGCGGAAGCCUGAUGCAGCAACGCCGGGUGCGGGAUGACGGCCUUCGGGUUGUAAACCGCUUUCGCCUGUGACGAAGCGUGAGUGACGGUAAUGGGUAAAGAAGCACCGGCUAACUACGUG
rnacentral:rRNA from 1 species